AGGCCUAGAGAGAAGAGACAGAAAGUAAAAAGAAAAAAGGGAAGAGAUGAAGGAGGCACUUCUGUGUACAUCAA
rnacentral:ribozyme from 1 species